rnacentral:rRNA from 2 species
UGGGGAAUAUUGGGUAAUGGGCGCAAGCCUGACCCAGCAACGCCGCGUGAAGGAAGAAGGCUUUCGGGUUGUAAACUUCUUUGACAGGGGACGAAACAAAUGACGGUACCCUGAAAACAAGCCACGGCUAACUACGUGCCAGCAGCCGCGGUAAUACGUAGGUGGCAAGCGUUGUCCGGAUUUACUGGGUGUAAAGGGCGCGUAGGCGGGAUGGCAAGUCAGAUGUGAAAAUUAUGGGCUCAACCCAUAACCUGCAUUUGAAACUGCUGUUCUUGAGUAUCGGAGAGGCAGGCGGAAUUCCUAGUGUAGCGGUGAAAUGCGUAGAUAUUAGGAGGAACACCAGUGGCGAAGGCGGCCUGCUGGACGACAACUGACGCUGAUGCGCGAAAGCGUGGGGAGCAAACAGG